rnacentral:rRNA from 1 species
UACGUAGGGUGCAAGCGUUGUCCGGAAUUAUUGGGCGUAAAGAGCUCGUAGGCGGUUUGUCGCGUCUGCUGUGAAAACGCGAGGCUCAACCUCGCGCCUGCAGUGGGUACGGACAGACUAGAGUGCGGUAGGGGAGAUUGGAAUUCCUGGUGUAGCGGUGGAAUGCGCAGAUAUCAGGAGGAACACCGAUGGCGAAGGCAGAUCUCUGGGCCGUAACUGACGCUGAGGAGCGAAAGCGUGGGGAGCGAACAGG